rnacentral:RNase_P_RNA from 1 species
UAAGAAGACCGGGCAGUCGCCGGUGCGUUCGCGUGCGGGAGGAAAGUCCGGACACCGCAGGGCAGGACGGUCGGUAACGCCGACGUGCAGUGAUGCAGGGAAAGUGCCGCAGAAAACAGACCGCCAGUCUGAAAAGACAGGUAAGGGUGAAACGGUGGUGUAAGAGACCACCGCUCUGCCGGGUGACCGGCGGAGGCACGGUAAACCCCGUCCGGUGCAAGGUUAAAUAGGUGAGCAUUUUAGGGCUGCCCGCCCGAGCUCACGGGUAAACCGCUUGAGCCUGAGAGCAAUCUCCGGUCUAGAUUAAUGACUGCCUCAGCCCCUUAAGAAGGGCUCAGACAGGAUCCGGCUUAUAGGUCUUCUUAUUUU